CCAAUGGCGUAUAUUAAAGUUGUUGCAGUUAAAAAGCUCGUAGUUGAAUUUCGGGACCAAUAUGUCGGUCGUGCUUCGGUACGUACUUGCAUUAUUGGUUUCUCCCUUCUGAAGAACCAUGAUGUCAUUAAUUUGGUGUCUUGGGGAAUCAGGACUGUUACUUUGAAAAAAUUAGAGUGUUUAAAGCAGGCUCACGCUUGAAUACAUUAGCAUGGAAUAAUGAAAUAGGACGUUUGAUUCUAUUUUGUUGGUUUCUAGGAUCGACGUAAUGAUUAAUAGGGUUAGUUGGGGGCAUUAGUAUUCAAUUGUCAGAGGUGAAAUUCUUGGAUUUAUUGAAGACUAACUACUGCGAAAGCAUUUGCCAAGGAUGUUUUCAUUAAUCAAGAACGAAAGUUAGGGGAUCGAAGACGAUCAGAUACCGUCGUAGUCUUAACCAUAAACUAUGCCGACUAGGGAUCGGAUGAUGUUAUUUUCGAUGACUCAUUCGGCGCCUUACG
rnacentral:rRNA from 1 species